UACAGAGACUGCAAGCGUUAUUCGGAUUCACUGGGCGUAAAGGGUGCGUAGGCGGGUCUUUUUUAAGUCAGCGGUGAAAGCCUGGAGCUCAACUCCAGAAUUGCCAUUGAUACUGACGGACUUUGAAUCAAGUUGAGGUGGAUGGAAUAUUACAUGUAGCGGUGAAAUGCUUAGAUAUGUAAUAGAACACCAAUUGCGAAGGCAGUUCACUAAGCUUGUAUUGACACUGAGGCACGAAAGCGUGGGGAUCAAACAGG
rnacentral:rRNA from 1 species